CUGCCCUCAAGCACGGCUUGUGUGUUGGGUGUGGUCCCCUCCUUUUAGGGGGGACCUGCCCGAAAGGCAGCGGCGACGUCGCGUCGGGUCCUCGAGCGUAUGGGGCUUUGUCACUCGCUCGGGAGGGACCUGCGGGCGUUGGUCACCCAACUGUAUUUUUCCAC
rnacentral:misc_RNA from 1 species